UGAUCCAAACCCUACCCAAUUAAUUAUGACAUGUAAACAGAUUUAUUUAAUCUCAAGCUUGUAUGGAGUUAACAAGUUAGGGUUUAGACAUUAUAGAUGUAUUGUGUCAUGUUGAGUUGAAACACUAAAAAUGUUGAAAGAGUCGGAUUCAGGAAGACAAAUAUAUCAGUUAGGUUUAGAGGACAUAGUGGAAAUAAUAGGAGUUAAUAAAUCGAAGCUAGGUCAUGAGGAAGGAGUGGCUAAGUGGGUUCAUGGAGUAUGUGAGAAAAAUGAUAAAAAGAAAAAUAAAGUAUUGACCUAGGUGGCUAAAUCCUUUUCAUAUUACAAAACGAUUCAACCUAAACUUUUUUCUUUUAUGCCAGGUUUAUGUUUUGGUUUUUGAGCUACUCCAUCUUUUAGUCAGUUAUUUUAUUUUGACAUAAUGAACUCAUAUGUAAUUUUGGACGAACCUUCUCUGUGAAAAAAGAAACUAAUUUGGGGCUUAUUAGAUUGUUUUUUUUUUGUUCAUAAUUGGCAGAUUUGAAGAUGCACAUCAACUGCUUGAUGAAAUGCCUAAAAGAACUAGUAAGAUUAUUUCUACUCCAUGAUUGACUACACAGGCUUCUUACACACUUUCAUAUUACUUUUUGAUAAUGAUGAUAAAAAUAAACAAGAUUAAAUAAAUUGUAGUUGUAUUACAAAUAGCAUGGCUUACCAAGUUUCGAGUGUGAAAGGUAGAUCACCAACAACUUUAACAAUUAAAUUACUAGAAAGUAUUCAGGUAAGAACAUCUUCUAUUUGUGUGGCUGCCCUUUCGUUUCAGGUAUCUCUCUUGAUUCUCCCUCUUGCAUUUCUUCAAUUUUUCUUUUUAGGAAGGAAGAUGGUUAAUGGUUAAUGGGUUGUUUUGCUUCCUACAAUUCAUCGUUUUGAAGGACCAAAACUGAUGCGUUGUGUUUCUGUUAGCUUUUUGGGCAAAAUGGUUUAUUGAAGGGGUUGUGGUAGAAAACUCCCUGAUAUCUCUUUCUUUUCCAACCUACAAACAAGUGCUUUCAUGCUCCAGCACAUAUGAAAGAAAGGUCAUUUUUCAAGUAAUAAUUACGAAUUUACCCUUUUCAUCCACACACCAAAUUUUGAAAACAAUGGUUUCAGCUCUAAAGAUUUGUUAAAUAUCUACCCUCAAAUGCAAACUCUUUUACCACAAAAGAAAAUUGAUAAAAGAAAUCCAUGAAACAAAGUGAGCAUCAAAUUUGAUGAUGAUUCACAUACAUUUAUGCUCUUAAGUAUUGGAAACUUCGAAAAGCAUAUCAAAUAUCAUUUUAUUACACUUUCUUGCUAAAGUAUUAAAACUGAUAUUUUGUGGUUACCUUAUUGAUUACAUGCUUAUAUAGGUGGUUAUUUGUUUCUCUUUGACAACAAGGUCCUGAGGGUUUUUUUGUAAAGAUGGUCAUAGUUGGAGGAGAAAAAAAGACGAAAAAGCCCUUGGAUAGGCACAUGAGGACGUAAAAGUUGAAAAUGUUGAAGGUUUGAAUUGUUACUAUGCACAUGGUGAACAUAAUCAGAAUCAUUUUUUUGAGUUCAAUAACAUAAGAAGGAAGUUAUUUGUCAUCAUUAUGAGCAAUGGUACAAACAGAGCUUUCACGCUUUAAAAAAAUGACUCUAGAUUCAUUUUAUUUGUGAUUAGGAUUCGAAUCACAUGCAAAAAUUAGAGUUAUUUUUAUUGCUCUUCUUUGAAUGUACAUAUCCAUCUAAAACUCUAAAACCUAAGACCCUCCACCAAUGUUUAUCCUCCUAUAACAAGCUUACAGCUAUGGACAAAAAAAUGAAGCAUUGUAGUUAUCUGAA